CCAGCUUCAGCGUGAACUUGCUCACAGUCAGCACUCCGAAAGCAGCAACUCAGAUCACAGUUAUCUGGAUACUGAACACUUGCACUUUCUUCUUCCUCGCGUUGGGAGCAGCUGCCGUUUACUUGGUCGUGGUCAUGGGAGGCUGACACUGUCCAAGAUAUUAAUGUGUGAGAAAGAGAAUAAAACAUAUGAUUAAAAGAAUAAUCUUACAUUGCUGCAUACGUAAACUUUCAAUGGCAAAUACAUGUGAGGCAGACACAGUCAUAAAAUAAGACUUUCUCUAAAUUCUGCAUGGUUGUUGAAUGUAUAUGGACGAUAUUUUAAGAAAAAUAAUAGGUUUCUGGGUUUGUUUUUCUAUAUUUUCGAAAAAGAUAUUUUUUCCAGUUGUACAAUGAUUAAAAAAACCCUUUAAAACGUUAUUUCUUAUCAAAAUUCAGUUUGGAAUGAACCCAUCAAAGUCCUUAUGUGGGAAAAACAAGAAUGACAGUAUUAACAAGCAACGUAGAGAUAAACAAUCAACGUCCUUAUGUUGUACUGAUGUCCAGUCAUCUCGAGGAACAAUGUGCACUAAAGAUUAUAAUGCAUUCUAAAAUCAAAAAAUGUUCAUACCUCCACUCCCCCGAUUCCGGCCAUUAGACUAAGAUAAUCGUUUUAUCAGAAUAAUCAUCCCGAAAUAGAUAAUGUGGAACAAAUGAUAUGAUCAUUACUUUCGAUCAAUUGAGAUUUAUAUAUGAAAUUCAAUCAACACCCAUUGGAUAUAUCAAUUAUCAAAUAUCACAUCAAUUAUCAAAUAUAUCGAUUGAGUAUCUAAAAGAGUAUAUUCUCUCAUUAAACCAACUAUUUAAAGAAUACAUUAUCUAAAUUGGCUUUGUAAGAUAUGUUUUGAAAUUUUAAACAAACUAAAUGAACUCUUUUGAGCUAUAUGUAUGCAUGCUUGUGGACACUUACUAUAGAUGUUAUGUAAGAUAGAUCUUCGAUAUAGUCUCUAGUCCUUUGACAAAAUGGGAUAUGAGAUAUGAUUAUCUCGUCUCUGAAUUAAAGUGGGAUAAAAGGUACGAGAUACAAAUAUUUUUUUCUUAAAAAAAUUAUAUAUAUUCAAGUUUUAAAUAUUUAAUAAUUUCUCUCUUCUGAGCAUAACAAUUCGAACAAAUUUGAAUUUAUCAGUCAAAAUAUUUAAAAGUAAUGUCUUAGUAAUAUGGCCGAACGAGUACUAAUAAGUCAAUACUUUUGUAAUAGAAUUGAUUGGAGAAUAUUUAAAGAAUGAAAAAAACAUAAAUUAGCGAAUACUUAGGCCUCAAUUUCAUUAAAAAAAAAAAAAUUGAAGCAUGUAUAUUGAUAGGAAACAUUUUGAUUACCAAUCUCAUCCCUCUAGUUGUUACAAAGGUGAGGUCCCAAUCAUCCUCACAUGAUGUUGGUAUGGUGGAAGAUAUGGUUUGACCCUGAAUGACGAUCCAUGGGGGGCCAUUUGGGUCGGCCCGAUCAACCCUCACAGAUAGUAAUCCACGGGUGACUGAUUGGGUUUGCCUCCCCUCGAUCGAUCCCCCUGAGAGAAAUGCCAAGGGAAUAAUGUUACGAUCAUUACAAGCUCGUCACCCCCCAUUGAUUGAAUGAUAGUGGAAAGACAUUACGACCAUUACAAGUGAUUUCUCCAAUCGAAUAUAUAUAAAAGCUAACCCCCAACGUUAGUCUAAGGGGUUGGAUAUCGUUGCAACUAACCCUAUUACAUUACACAACUACCCUAGAGCUAACUUGUGUGUCAGAGGGGUCGUGUCGGGAAACACUCCCGGCAUCGACGAGCCUAGAUCCACCUUGGUUCGACCUUAAGGUUACCUCAAAAUGAUCGAGACCAUGUGAAGACUACCUCGGAGCACCCCAUCUAUGUCAUAGCUACCAUGAGAGUGCCUCGAAUGUCUCUACACCUUCAGGUCCAAACCGAGCUAGGUUGACUCAACCAUCGACGACAAAACCCCAUAACAUUUUAGUACUAGAAGAAGAGCCCUAAAUGUCGUAGUAACAUCCACUCAUGAACCCUCUCAACAAGUGCUUUAGUGAGGAGGCUCCACCCCCAACCCGUAAUACCUUUAUGCAAGGAGGGCAGCCACCAUCCUUUCCUCAGGUGGUUGAGUCUACCUUGGUGAAAACACUAGGGCUUCAUAGGUGCAAAUUCAAUAACCCAGGACUAGCACCUUCGGGGAUGAAUUCGAGACACCUAGUCAUGCCCACUAAGGCCUUCCUAAACUUCAUGCAAUAAGUGCAUGCCCUCUCGGGGAUAAUGCAAGUCAUUGCCCCACUCCUUCCUCAACUAGCUUAAUAAGUUGUGUCGUCGUCGCAAGUAUGGCCAAUGCCUCAACCCCCACUUGUACCCGCACCCGUCAGGGUUCCUCUGACUUAUCCAUCAUCGAUAGCCUAGGACUAUCAUCGACCAACUAAAAUGCCAAUUGGAGCCCCUCGCGCUCCAACAGUGGAAUUCAAUGUACCUCCACACCAGGGGUUAGCCUUACCUAAGUCAGAGACCCAAUCGACAUAUUCAAUAGAAGAUUCCUAGAGGGCCCAACUACAACAUAUGGAUCAUCUUUUGGACGUGAUGCACCGAGAAUUCUAACUGUGAAGGCACAAACAACCCCACCUUGGGUCAUUCCCCAUUCAUCCAAAGCAUCCAAGAGGAGCUAAUUCUGGCAAACUUUUGCCUUCUAUUCUUAGAGACCUUCAACGACAACUUCGACCCAAUAGAGCAUACUACAACUUUCCAAGUUCAAAUGUCACUGUAUGGCACAUUAGACACCUUGAUGUGUCAAGCAUUCCCAACGACACUGAGGGGCUUGGCGCGAGAAUGAUACAAUUGCUUAAAGUCACUCUCGGUUUUCUUUUUCGCUUAACUCAUAAAGGAAUUCAAAUUUUACUUUCUCGGGGAAUGUGCACUUAAGAUCAUCCACGACGAAGUUGCUCAAACUAAGACAGAGAGAAGAUGAAGCCUUUUUAAACUUUAUCAUGUGGUUUACCAGCAAAAUUUGAGACAUGUAGGAUGCCCACCCCUUUCUAGUGAUAUAAGCUUUUAUGAUGGGCAAAGAGACCACUCGCAUUUUUUGGUCACUGGUGGAAAGACCAUCGGUGACAGUCCCUAAAAUACUUCAAAGAGCUAAUCAAUAUACAACUGCGUAGGUGAUUAUCUCACUUAACCACGAAGAAACUCACAAAAGACAACACCAAGGACCUCCUUGUUGAAUCUCAGAUUUUGAUGAUAAAACCAAUUGAUAAGUGUUUAUGAUUUGAUAUGCAUUUUGAGUGACGUAGGAUGCUUCGAUCAGGAUAAGACAAUUAAAGCAGAAAGAAUCAUGUUGGGCCGGUGGAACAUGUCAAAAGAUUGGACGUCGAGCCGGAUUAUCGAUCAACGUAUCGACAAAAGUCUUCGGGCUAGGGAUUCAAGCAUCGGGCUAAGAAGAGCAAAAAUUGUACCACAGAUAUUGGAGUUGCGGAGGUCAACUGGCGGAUUGGGCAAUUGGCCGCAAGAGAGGACGAUGCGUCGAAGAAUCAAACGAAGCAUUGAUGGACCAAUGACAUGCCGGACAACAUGAUUCAUGCUUAGUAAUAAUUGUCUAAAUCGAAGUAUAUUUUUACAUAUGUAUGAUUAAUUAUGACAGUAAAGCAUAAAGCAAAAUGAAGUCCCGAAGUCAAGAACGUGAUUUUGUUACGAGUUCGAGAGUUCAUCGGAAGUUCUGCCGGAAUUGAUCGAGAAGUCCAGGAGCUUGUCGAAGAAGCUCGUCGAACCUCACCAAGUAGAUCAUUAUGAAGUCUAGGAGCUUGUUGGGAGUCGUACGAGUUCGAGAGUUCAUCGAAAGUUCUGUCAGAAUUGAUCGAGAAGUCCAGGAGCUUGUCGAAGAAGCUUGUCGAACCUCACCAAGUAGAUCAUCAUGAAGUCUAAGAGCUUGCCGGGAGUUCGUUGGAACAUUGUCGGAAGCUCACCGGAAAAAACAUAGACUUAUGGACUUGUUUAACUUAGUAAAUAUCAUAAAUUUUAUAGUUAGCAUAUAAUUAGGAUUAGAAUUGGGCCAACCCACUUAGAGGACAGUUGGGUCCAAGUUUAGGAUGUGUUGGGGCAAGAGAAAGGCCCAAAUAGUGACCAAACAUGUAAAAUCAUCGUGGCAUAAUUUUUGAGACUUUGUCAGGUGGUGGUAAUGCCCAGACAAAGUCUUCUAGGUGGUGGUACCACCAAACUGGGCAGUUGUACCAUCCAGUGUCAGACUGUAGGCGGUGGUAUCGCCCAGUGUAGGCGGUAGUACUGCCCAUACCCUAAAAUUUCGAGGAUUUAAAUUUUUGGCUCCAAAUUUGAAUCCAUUUGGGGCCCAUAAAUAUCUUAGCUAUUCCUGCAUGUAUUAGCAAGAAAUAUUGAGUAAAACUCUGUGAUUCUAAAGUUGUAAACCUUAAAAAGUUGAGUUCCCUCAUCCCAAAGCUUAGAGAGAAUUCUAAGAGAGGUUUGAGAGGGAUACCUUGUAAAAUAGGGUUAUAAAAGGUUGUCUCAUAAACCAGUGAUAAAGAGACAAGGGAUGUAAAAGGGUCGUUGGUCUUCACCUAUUGAAAGAAGACCGAUAAUGGAUGUCGAUGGCCUCGACAGAAGAGGAAUCGACGAAAUGGAUGUAGGUCACGAUGACCGAACCACUAUAAAAAUUUGGUUUGCAUUUCUCUUAUGCAAUUUAUUUUAUUGCAAACCACUUUAUUUACUUUACAUCAACCAUGUUCUUCCAUACAAUUUCAAAGUUAAUACCUUUACGAAACGGUUUUUCAUCGUAAACAGAUUUAAUCGUAACGAAGUUUUGAAUCAACAUAAUUUUUACCGUUGCUCUAAUUCACCCCCCAUCUUAGUGUGACUCUUUCCCUAACACUCCUUGGGUGAUGACCUUAAGGAAAUAUAGUCAACCUGAGAUACCCCACUCACGGUCCGGGUCAAUUCCCCUCAAUAUGCUAAGGAUCGAGAUAUUCUUAUAAGGGAAAAUUGAUUUCUAAAAGACCCACAACUGAUGAGGACCCCCAUAGGAAGGAGAGAUAAAUCGAAACACUACCAUUUUCACUAUGAUUGUGGUCAUGAUAUCAAGAAGUGUCAUGAUUUGAAGGACUAGAUUGACGAGCUUAUCCGUCGAGGACAUCUCGGGAGGUUCAUUUGUAAGCACCAAGAGCCUUUGCCUCACCCAUAAGGCAUAGUGGAAAAAUAAAUUGACAUCAUCAUCAGUGGACUCACCAUGGUCAUGACAUCGAGAAGUGUCAUGAUUUGAAGGAUCAGAUUGAGGAGCUCAUUCAUCAAGUACAUCUCGAGAGGUUCAUUUGUAAGCAUCGAAAGCUUUUGCCUCACCCACAAGGCCUUGUGAAAAAAUAAAUUGACAUCAUCAUCGAUGGACUCACCUCAAGAGGGGAUAGCUCCUCGGGACAUAAAGCUUACUCCCAAGCUACCAUCGAAAAAUGCUUGAGGCUAGAAAAAGGUGCAGAAAUCACUUUUAAAGAAGAAGAGACAGAGUACCUCAACCUGAACCACGACGAUGCAUUAAUAGUCUUAAUAAGGAUAAUCAAUUCUUAGGUGAAAAGGUUCAUGAUCGAUAUAGGUAGUUCUACUGACAUACUUUCUAUUGACGCUUUUCAAAAGCUUGGAUUGUCGGCUAAUGACCUCUUCCCAAUGACAUAUUCAUUGAUGGGAUUCAUGGAUGACUCUAUCUGCCCACUCGAGGCUGUAAGCCUACAUAUCACAUUCGACAAAGAACCCUGCUCUAAGACGCUAUUGACCAAGUUCAUCAUGGUAGAUAUCCCCUUAGCCUACAACACAAUUACUGGCUAACCUACUCUCAACCAACUAAAGGCCAUGGUAUCCACAUACCAAAUGGUAAUGAAGUUUCUAAUGAGGGUUAGCAUCGAGGAGUUAAAAAGCAUCCUAAGAGAGCUCUAAUAAUGCUACUUGACAGCAAUCUCAAUGUUGAAGAAAGCCAAGUCCGAACCAGUGCUAAUGGAUCCUUGAGAUUUUGGUAAACCAUUAUCACACCCGAAGCUAGUGGAAUAGUUGAUCGAGACACUAUUAGAUAAGGCUUGGCCUAACUAGGCCAAACCUAAAGGACUUCUUAUUGACCGAAGAUUGUCAAGAGGCAUUUGAAGGAUUAUGUUACCGCAACUAUCCUCCUCCAUCUUGGGUGAAGUGUUAAGCUUGUACCUUUCGAUUAUUAGCUAGGUUGUUAGCUCGAUGUUACUCUGGGAUGACUCGAGAACCCAACGACCCAUAUAUUACGUUAGCCAUGUGUUGAGCGAGCUUGAGGAAUGCUGCUCUCCUAUCGAGAGAUUAACAUUCGUGUUGGUAUUAGCAACAAGGAAGUUGCAUCCUUGCUUCUAAGCACACCCUAUAUGAGUGAUUACUGAUCAACUGUUGAGACAAGUCCUUUCAUAAUUAGAUGUUUCAAGAUAGAUGCUAAAGUAGUCAAUAGAAUUGGGAGUGUUUGACAUCAAAUAUAUCCUAAGGAUCGCCAUCAAGGCUCAAGAGCCGAAGGAUUUCAUUUCAGAACUGACUGAUAUAGAUGAACACACUACCUCGACGUGGAUUUUGUUUAUAGAUGACUUAGUUACUAUAUAGAGGGGGGGAGCGAGACUCAUGCUAAAGGCCAUAAAUAACCAAGUGUAUGAGCAUGUCAUUCGAUUUGAGGUCAAAAUCUCCAACAAUGAGGCUAAGUAUGAAGCACUAUUGUCAGGGCUUUGAUGCUCGAGAACUCCAAAUGUAAGAGCUGGCAAUAUUUAGUGACUCAUAAUUGGUCAUUAGCUAAAUGGAUAGAAGUUACGAAACCCGAGAUGCAAUUAUGGCAAAGUACUUGGCCGAGGUAUAUCGUCUCAUAUGUAAUUUCCCCUAGCUCACUAUGCAGAAGAUUCCUCGGGCUGAGACCACUCAAGCAGACAUGCUAGCAAAGUUAUCUUCCACCCAAUCAUAAAAGAAGAACUAAUCGAUGGUCGAGGUGCUUCCCGCCCGAUCUAUCAAAGAUGCAAUAUCAUCAUGGUCGAGGAGGAGUUGAGCUAGAUAGAUGAGAACCUAUGCUACAAGAGGGACAGAACACUGCCCAUCAACCCCUUGGUGGCUUAGAGGGUUAGACACCACCAAGCAUGAUAUUGUAUAAUUAAUGAUCGCUUGUGUUAUAGGUCAUUCAGCUAGCCCCUCCUCCAAUGCUUGUCACGACAAGAAGUCGAGAGAGCACUGACUGAGGUACACGAAGGAAUCUAUGAGGAGUAUAUAAGGGGGUGCACCCUUGCAUUCAAGGUCCUUCUACAAGAAUUUUACAGGUCAACCUGGCGUAAAGUUGUGAUUGCCUAUGUCUAAAGGUACUAGCAAUGCUAAAAGUUUGACCAAGUAUAACGCUAGCUUGUGCCCCACUUGAGCCCGAUCGACUAUGCAUGGCCUUUCGCCUAAUCUAGAAGCAAGUUGAAUAAUUUGUCUAGAGGAAUAUAAUCGCUCGCUUCAAAAUCUUGAGAGCUCUCAUCAUGGACAAUAGAACCUAGUUCAACAACAGUAGGUUUAAGGAGUUUUGUCAUUUUUAUGGGAUUCAACUAAGGUUGAGCUCUGUGGCUUACCCCCAAACUAAUGGUCUGACUAAGGUUACCAAUUGAGCUAUUCUAGAGGGACUAAAGAAAGGGUCAUCAGAGCAAAGGGCACCUUGGUGGAUGAAUUCUUGAGCAUCUUGUGAGCAUCCCACACAACACCUAAAAUUGGCUCAGGUGAAUUGUCAUUCAACUUAGCAUUUUGUACCGAAGUUGUACUCUCACCCGAGAUAAUCUUCCCAACUCCUUUAGUGGAAAACUUCAAUGCUAUAUCCAAAGGACUUUAGGCUGAACUUGACUUGAUCAGUGAAGUCAGAGCUAAAGCACAUCUUCGAAUCCUAAGAUACAAACUAGCAGUAGUAAGGCUCUAUAAUUGCAGAGUCCACUUAUGGAAGGUCGGGAUCGAGGAUCUGGUGCUUUACAAGGCUGAGGUAAGUGACCCAACCAGAUCCCAAGGAAAGUUAACUUUGAGCUUGAAAGGACCUUACCAUAUGGUAGAGGUUGGUCAGGACCAAAUGUAUAACCUCAAGACCACAAAGGGUGUAGCGCUGCCAAGGACUUGGCACAUUGCCAACUUUAAAAAAAAUUAUUCGACCCGUGCCAAAGAACGACGGAGGCUCCAAGCCAUAUAUGCCCAAGGUGUGUGAGUUGAGAAAUCAGACCCAUGUCAAAAAUAAAUCAACUACCUCAUAGGCAUUGGGCCAAAUGUGCUUGUGGUGUGUGAAUCGAGAAACUCGACCUGCACAAAAAAAUCUCUGUUACAAUGGAGGUUUCGAGCCAAAUAUGCAUAAGGCAUGUGAGUCAGGAAAAUUUGACCUAUACUAAUACAUAUGCUAUUGGGAAAUUUGGGUCAACAUCACAUACGCAAUGAAAAAACAAAAGACAAAAAUCAUAGAUUUCCCAUAUAAAAAAAUUUCUUAUCGAUGUACGAAGAUUGGUGCACAAAAACCUACACAAUCAAAAAAUGCACGUAUAUAAAAGAUGCAUUACCUAAGGAGAUCAUAUAUUUAUGAAAACUUAUAGAUCUAUAGGAGAGGAUGAAGGAGGUUAGAUGUCUUCCUCUCUAGCGGUAAUCCACACAGUAGAUGCGAGAAAGACACUCCUCAAAUCACUGCACAAUCUUCCUCUUCAUGCGCACCACGUGAUCAAGAAGGGGUUGCCCCUUUUUUCUAUUCACAUGCCCUAAACUAGGGCUAUUAACCAGGGAGGAAAGGGAGGGAGGAGUAUAGAAGGUGGUAGCCAAAAAAAGUCUAGCCUAUGCUUCUUUGGUUUCCUCCCAUUUAUAGAUGUUCAUGUCAACAUAACCUCAGUGUAUCCUACCAUAUUGGGCACUAGAUCUCUAUCCAACUAUCCAAGCAUUUUUUAUUAGUAAAUCUCUAUCCGAUAAUAUCUUAUUAGAUCUUAUCCAUAAGAUCUAAUAAUUCAGGGGCUUAUUGGAUAUCUAAUAAGAUAAAGACUCCAGCGGAUAUCUCAUAUUUGAACGUCUACUCGACGUAACACCUUUCAUAUGUGUGUGUCCCUCUAGAUUCAAUAUUGAAUUGGCCGCGAGUAAUACCUGUCAGAACUCUUUCUGACUUGAUGAAUUAUCAUAAGAGAUGAUAAUUCACUCAACUCAUCGAUCAUGGACAUACUAUGCCACUAUGUCAUAAUCCUUAAACGAUACAAGGGAAUACAAUCUAUUGGACAUAUCUAUCUUUAGUUACAGUAUAUCUAUAAUCUCUCAUAUAUCUUGAGAAUAUAUAUAAUAUUUCUCUCAUUACAAUAAGAGCAUAUGAUCCUCUAUUGACACUCAAUUGCCCUCAUAAAGUUGGUUGCCACUCUCAAUGAUCGACUAUAUUAAAUCUAAAAUUUCUUGACCUAUAAAUUCGGUAUCAAAGAGUGAAGUACUAAUAUAGGGCAUCCUUUGUGUUUCUAAGUCUAAGGACAAAAUACACAACUAGGACGAUGAAAUCACUGUUUGAUAAUGAGGUAUCAUAAAUCAUCCAACAUUUAGUGAGCAAAUCAAUAAAUGAACUCAUUCUCCAAUGAGCACCUGCACUAUAUCCCUAGUGUCCCCACACGAGCAAUUAUAAGACCAGUCGUCUCCAUCAUAUAGAUAGGUAUACAACACACCAGUAUGUCUGGUUAUCUCGAUGUCUCUCUCGAGUAACCUACGGUCGAAAUUAUUUAGAUUCUAUGUUUAAAAGUGAAUCGAUCUCAUUAUCGUGAUUUCAUCACGAUCCGAUUCUAAUUGCAUAGAUUCAUGAACAUCACAAUACAUGCAACAAACAACAUAAAAUGAGAAAAAUAUCAAUAAAUAAUAAUAAGUAAAAAGAGUACAUAUCGUGUUGCAUGUGCCAUCACUCAUGUGAUUGGCUUGCAGGGCACCUAUGUCUAGUAUCUACUACAGUAGAGAUGUCAAGGCAAAUGUGCCUGAGGUGAAUAGGACAAAAAAAUCCACCCCACACUACGAUGGAGAUAACAGGUCAAACGUGCUCAAGGCAUGUGAGUCGAAAAAAUUCAACCCGCACCAAAACUAAUCUGCUAUAGAGAAAGUAUAAAACCAAUAUACCCGAGACACUUGAAUCAGAGAAACUCGACCUACAAGAUGAAAUCCCAAAUGCUCCCGUAUCGUAGGAGCUAAAUGACGUGCUACAAACCUUUUUUUUAUAUAUAUAAAAGCUCAGAAGUACGCCUUUGGGGGUAGGACAAACGAUAAGGAAUAUUUUGGCAAUCAAUCUCAUCCCUCUAGUUUAUCACCACAAAGAUGCUAAUAUGGAAAAACAAGGACUCAAUCAUCCCCACAGGGCAUUGGUAUGGAGGAUGAUGAUCCAUGGGGGGCCAUUUAAGCCGACUUGAUCAGCCCCCACAAAUAGUAAUCUACGGGUGAUCGGUUGGGUCUACCUCCCCCUCGGUCGGUCCCCAUGAGUGAAAUGCCAAGGGAAUGACAUUACUAUCAACACAGGCUCGUCACCCCCAUUGAUGGAACAAUAGUGAGAAAGUGUUACGAUUAUUACAAGCCUGCCGCCCUCGUUAAUGAAACGUUAGAGGGGAGAUAUUACAGCCAUUAUAAGUGAUUUUUCUAUCAAAUAAUUAUAAAAGUCGACCCUUAGUACUAGUAUAGGGGGUCGAAUAUCAACUGACCCUCUUAUAUUAUACAACCACCCGAGAGCUAACUUAAGUCAUGUCGAAAAACAUAAUCUUUGUGCAAAGACUCGUCGACGAGCCGAGAUCCUUCUCGGCCCAACCUUAAGACCAUCUCAAAGCCAUCUCAUCUGUGCCAGAGCUGCCACAAGGGUGUCUCAUACGCAAAACCCCACAACAUACAUAAUAUAUAAAUGAUAUUUUUUCUUCGUACCAUCAAUAUAUACUCUAUUCUUCUUGUUUGCGUUCUUGCUUUCUUGAUUGCUCACAGUACAUCAAACAGAAGGGAAAGUUUACAGAAAUCUUUCAAACUUACAUGUGCAGAUCUGUGUUAGGAAGGUGAUCCUAAGAUAAAACGAACUGCGAAAGGAAUAAGCAAUCAUAUGUAGAACAAUAGUAAUUUCUAGCACAAAUUGAAGGCACACCUUCUCUCCUGAUGGAAAGGUCACACAAAGAACCCAAAGAGAAACCAAGAAGAGAGAGUGUGUAAAGAUGCCGGCUGACCUCCGCGCGUCCAUGCUUGUGCCGCUACUCCGGAGUUAUCUCCUUCGCUCCAUGUGCGAUUGAGGUCAAGUCAAUCGGGCAAGCUUUUCCAUUGCAAGAAUAGUCGAGACUUGACCUGUGCUUCAUGCCAUCCACUCAUCGUCUCAUCAGUGGAUGAUGAUGCUGAUGGCUGUGUCU
rnacentral:lncRNA from 1 species